rnacentral:rRNA from 1 species
UACGUAGGGGACGAGCGUUGUCCGGAAUUAUUGGGCGUAAAGAGCGUGUAGGCGGCUCUGCAAGUCCUGCGUGAAAUCUCGAGGCUCAACCUCGAGCGGUCGUGGGAAACUGGAGGGCUAGAGUGCGGGAGAGGGAAGUGGAAUUCCAGGUGUAGCGGUGAAAUGCGUAGAUAUCUGGAGGAACAUCGGUGGCGAAGGCGGCAUCCUGGACCGGUAUUGACGCUGAGGCGCGAAAGCCAGGGGAGCAAACGGG